rnacentral:snoRNA from 1 species
GGAUCGAUGAUGACUCCCUAUGAAUGCAUUCCUUGGAAAUCUGAACAAAAUGAGUGACAAUCCCUACCGUCGUCCUCAUCAGAGGUCC